GGUUAAGCGACUAAGCGUACACGGUGGAUGCCCUGGCAGUCAGAGGCGAUGAAGGACGUGCUAAUCUGCGAAAAGCGUCGGUAAGGUGAUAUGAACCGUUAUAGCCGGCGAUGUCCGAAUGGGGAAACCCAGUGCAAUUCGUUGCACUAUCGUUAACUGAAUACAUAGGUUAACGAGGCGAACCGGGGGAACUGAAACAUCUAAGUACCCCGAGGAAAAGAAAUCAACCGAGAUUCCCCCAGUAGCGGCGAGCGAACGGGGAGCAGCCCGGAGUCUGAAUCAGCUUGUGUGUUAGUGGAAGCGUCUGGAAAGUCGCAGGGUACAGGGUGAUACUCCCGUACACUAAAACGCACAGGUUGUGAACUCGAAGAGUAGGGCGGGACACGUGGUAUCCUGUCUGAAUAUGGGGGGACCAUCCUCCAAGGCUAAAUACUCCUGACUGACCGAUAGUGAACCAGUACCGUGAGGGAAAGGCGAAAAGAACCCCGGCGAGGGGAGUGAAAAAGAACCUGAAACCGUGUACGUACAAGCAGUAGGAGCCCACUUGUUGGGUGACUGCGUACCUUUUGUAUAAUGGGUCAGCGACUUAUAUUCUGUAGCAAGGUUAACCGUAUAGGGGAGCCGCAGGGAAACCGAGUCUUAACUGGGCGUUAAGUUGCAGGGUAUAGACCCGAAACCCGGUGAUCUAGCCAUGGGCAGGUUGAAGGUUGGGUAACACUAACUGGAGGACCGAACCGACUAAUGUUGAAAAAUUAGCGGAUGACUUGUGGCUGGGGGUGAAAGGCCAAUCAAACCGGGAGAUAGCUGGUUCUCCCCGAAAGCUAUUUAGGUAGCGCCUCGUGAACUCAUCUUCGGGGGUAGAGCACUGUUUCGGCUAGGGGGUCAUCCCGACUUACCAACCCGAUGCAAACUACGAAUACCGAAGAAUGUUAUCACGGGAGACACACGGCGGGUGCUAACGUCCGUCGUGAAGAGGGAAACAACCCAGACCGCCAGCUAAGGUCCCAAAGUCAUGGUUAAGUGGGAAACGAUGUGGGAAGGCCCAGACAGCCAGGAUGUUGGCUUAGAAGCAGCCAUCAUUUAAAGAAAGCGUAAUAGCUCACUGGUCGAGUCGGCCUGCGCGGAAGAUGUAACGGGGCUAAACCAUGCACCGAAGCUGCGGCAGCGACACUAUGUGUUGUUGGGUAGGGGAGCGUUCUGUAAGCCGUUGAAGGUGGCCUGUGAGGGUUGCUGGAGGUAUCAGAAGUGCGAAUGCUGACAUAAGUAACGAUAAUGCGGGUGAAAAACCCGCACGCCGGAAGACCAAGGGUUCCUGUCCAACGUUAAUCGGGGCAGGGUGAGUCGACCCCUAAGGCGAGGCCGAAAGGCGUAGUCGAUGGGAAACAGGUUAAUAUUCCUGUACUCGGUGUUACUGCGAAGGGGGGACGGAGAAGGCUAUGUUGGUACGGGCGACGGUUGUCCCGGUUUAAGCAUGUAGGCGGAUGUUCCAGGUAAAUCCGGAACGUUACUAACGCUGAGGUGUGAUGACGAGGCACUACGGUGCUGAAGUGACAAAUGCCCUGCUUCCAGGAAAAGCCUCUAAGCAUCAGGUAACAUCAAAUCGUACCCCAAACCGACACAGGUGGUCAGGUAGAGAAUACCAAGGCGCUUGAGAGAACUCGGGUGAAGGAACUAGGCAAAAUGGUGCCGUAACUUCGGGAGAAGGCACGCUGAUGGUAAGUGAAGCGACUUGCUCGUGGAGCUGAAAUCAGUCGAAGAUACCAGCUGGCUGCAACUGUUUAUUAAAAACACAGCACUGUGCAAACACGAAAGUGGACGUAUACGGUGUGACGCCUGCCCGGUGCCGGAAGGUUAAUUGAUGGGGUUAUCCGUAAGGAGAAGCUCUUGAUCGAAGCCCCGGUAAACGGCGGUACCGUAACUAUAACGGUCCUAAGGUAGCGAAAUUCCUUGUCGGGUAAGUUCCGACCUGCACGAAUGGCGUAAUGAUGGUCAGGCUGUCUCCACCCGAGACUCAGUGAAAUUGAACUCGCUGUGAAGAUGCAGUGUACCCGCGGCAAGACGGAAAGACCCCGUGAACCUUUACUAUAGCUUGACACUGAACACUGGUCCUUGAUGUGUAGGAUAGGUGGGAGGCUUUGAAGUGUGGACGCCAGUCUGCAUGGAGCCAUCCUUGAAAUACCACCCUUUAAUGGCUGGUGUUCUAACGUGGGCCCCUGAUCGGGGUUGCGGACAGUGUCUGGUGGGUAGUUUGACUGGGGCGGUCUCCUCCUAAAGAGUAACGGAGGAGCACGAAGGUCAGCUAAUCCUGGUCGGACAUCAGGAGGUUAGUGCAAUGGCAUAAGCUGGCUUGACUGCGAGCGUGACGGCGCGAGCAGGUGCGAAAGCAGGUCAUAGUGAUCCGGUGGUUCUGAAUGGAAGGGCCAUCGCUCAACGGAUAAAAGGUACUCCGGGGAUAACAGGCUGAUACCGCCCAAGAGUUCAUAUCGACGGCGGUGUUUGGCACCUCGAUGUCGGCUCAUCACAUCCUGGGGCUGAAGUAGGUCCCAAGGGUAUGGCUGUUCGCCAUUUAAAGUGGUACGCGAGCUGGGUUUAGAACGUCGUGAGACAGUUCGGUCCCUAUCUGCCGUGGGCGCUGGAGAAUUGAGGGGGGGCUGCUCCUAGUACGAGAGGACCGGAGUGGACGCAUCACUGGUGUUCGGGUUGUCAUGCCAAUGGCAUUGCCCGGUAGCUAAAUGCGGAAGAGAUAAGUGCUGAAAGCAUCUAAGCACGAAACUUGCCCCGAGAUGAGUUCUCCCUGACUCCUUGAGAGUCCUGAAGGAACGUUGAAGACGACGACGUUGAUAGGCCGGGUGUGUAAGCGCAGCGAUGCGUUGAGCUAACCGGUACUAAUGAACCGUGAGGCUUAACCUU
rnacentral:rRNA from 1 species